CGCCGCCCCUGGACACGCGCACUUCUACGCUCGAAUCCUCCUUUCUUCCUACUCUACUCGUGCUUCUUGCUCGCAACCAGUGGAGACUUUGCACACUUGUCAGAGACGUAGAACGGAGUUUUUCACGUGGACGAGGAGGGUGUGGCUGAAAAUGUUGCUCCUGCUAGACGAAAUGGAAGGAUCGGCGAGGAGGAGGUGGAAGAACUUUAGUAAAAUUUGAUGAAAGGAACUUUAGGUAGAGACGUCGUUUCUCGUGGAAGAACUGGCCGAAAUUUGAUGAAACGAACGUCGGGAGGAGAAGGCCACCAAGGAAAUCCAUGAAUCUUUCCCCACACCACGUCACCAACGUCCAUUCUUCUACCGUUAGCAGUGAGGCAAUGUUCUACAGGCGUCGCGGCAAGACGCAUCAUCAAAGGAUGAGACUGCGGUGGAAAGUCCGGA